rnacentral:lncRNA from 1 species
GACAGGGUGACGUUGCCCCCUCGACGGCCCAGGGAGGGAUGGAUGUGAUCGUCAGCUGAGCAGACACCUGCUUCUUGCAGAGGCUCAGGAAGAAGGCAAAGGGAGGAAGCAAAGAGCACUAUCACAGAGGCCACUUAGCAGCAUUCGACAGUAGACUCAGCCACUGCUAGAGUCUCACUCAUCGGAGUUAAACUGUGGGAGUGGGAAGAGCAUGUGCAAAGGCCCUGAGGCAGGAGGAAGAUCAUUGUUUUUGAGGGAAAAGCAGGGAAGCCAGUGUGGUUGGAGUUGAGUAAGUGAAAAUGAAAGAGGUAAGAGAUAAAGUCAGAGAGGUAAGAGAGACAGAUCACACUUACAACUGGCAUUGACAUUUUUGGCAAGACAAUUAUUCAUCUUGUGGAUCCGUCCUGUGCAUUGCAAGGAGUUUUUAACACCACUUGCUCUCCCUACUACAACAGCAGCAGCUCCUUCCAGGCAUUGAGACAACCAGAGAACAUUCCCACACAUUGUCAAAUACCCGCUAGGGGGCAGUAUUAGCUCUGGUUUGGAACAUCAUGCAGGCUCUUGCAGAUAAUUAUACGAGUUUUUUUGUUUUUGUUUUAGUUUUUGUUUUUGUUUUUUUGCCACAGAGUCUCGCUCUGUCACUCAGGCUGGAGUGUGCCAGCUUGAUCAUGGUUUACUGCAACCUCCGCCUCCCGGGUUCAAGUGAUUGUCGUGCCUCAGCCUCCCGAGUAGCUGGGACCACAGGCAUGCGCCACCAUGCCCAGCUAAUGUUUAUAUUUUUUUUGUAGAGUCAGGGUUUUGCCACGUUGACCAGACUGGUCUUGAACUCCUGGGCUCAAGUGAUCCUUGUGCCUUGGCUUCCCAAAGUGCUGGGAUUAUAGGCAUGAGCCACCGCACCAGCCUGUAAGGACUUUUCGUUGUAUUCUGAGGGAGUCAGAGAACCACUGGAGAGUUUUGAGUUAAAGAUUAACACGAUGUACCUUAUAUUCUGAUCAUUCUGGCUGCAGAUUGCAUUGAUUUUGGAGCUCAAGGGUAGAGUUGCAACAUUGCUCAGCUCCACGAAGUGAGCUGCCAUUCACAUUGUAGUUAAUGCAAAUGCUACUUCCAGCAACUGUGCAGUGCACAACCCAUACAGCUAUAUGUGGUGACCCCAGGCAAGGCAGAAGCAGGAGACACCAUUUAGGAGGUGACUGCAACAAUCCAGAUUCCUCCAGGCUCUGCCAUCACAGAAGGUCCAGCCCCAGUGCUGCUUUGGCCAGAAAGAAUGCUUGGCACUGCAUUUGCUGACAAGGAGUGUGGCCUGUGUUUAUCCCAGAGGUGGGUGAGGCAGCCUCUGCUGGUUCCAGAGGUCCCCUCUGCCACCUGAGGCGCCAGCCAUGCAGUGCUGGUCCUAGGUGGGGUUACAGAGGUAUUGACACCAGCCUGGUCUCUGGGUUAAUUUUUGUUAAGGGCCUGCGACCCAGUGUGGAGGGGUUGAUAUUGCGCAGCCUUGAAGGACGUGGACAUGAGCUUAUCAGAACAAGUGAUAGCAAGAUAAAAGAUCAAAGUAGGCUCUUUGCCUCAGAUUCUGCAUGGCAGCAAUUUCCACCAGCAGGGUCCAAAGACCCAAAAUGAACAAGGAAAGCAACCUCCUGAAGGGACACUUGGUAAUCACCUUGAUCUUUGGUUUUCAAAGUCUGCAGUCCACUUGGAAAGCAAGGUACAGGGGCAGAGAGAGUUGACAAAUAUGUACUGCUUGAUGAAUAUGGAAGAAACAAAGAAAACAGAAGUUUGAAAACCACCGACCUAGAAUUUUUAAAUGACGACACCCAGUGCUAGCGAUCUCUGGAGAACAGUUUUGCAAGAUGCAUCCAAAAACAUACACAUGUACACUCUCUUUGACCCCACCGUUCCUCUUACAUUUAUCUUAAGAUAAUCAUUAUAGAUAUGUGAACAUAUUUACUUCUGGGAUAAUCAUGACAGCAUUGUUUAUAGCAGGAAAUAAAGUGGAAACAACAUAUAUUCUGUCUGCAGAGAAACAGAAGCAAUCUAUUCUCUCUCUCUGUGUGUAUAUAUACGUGUGUGUGUGUGUGUGUGUGUGUGUGUAAAAUACAACAACAAAACUGUUCACCAAUGAUCAGGUGCUGUCCUGUUACAUGGUGAACGCAUUUUAUCUUUCCCACAGUCCUAGAAGUUAGAUACAACUAUCAUCAUCUCCAUUUAUCAUAUGGAGAAGUUGAGACACAGAAUCACUGGCCCAAAGUCACAUGGAUGAUAAGAGGCAGAACCAGGAUUUGAACCUUUGCAGGCUGGAUCCACUGUUCAUGGUCCUUCCCAUUCCACUGUUUUACCUCUCAAAUUUGGAAACAUUAUUCUACCUGCCAGUUGUUCAGCAGUUACUAUCGCCAGGCAUACACUGAAUUAUCUCAGUUAAUUCUCACUCCAUGAAGCAGGAUCUCUUGCUGUCCCCAUUUUAUAGAUAGAAAAACUGACGCUCAGAGAAGAAGAGUCAUUUGUUCAAGUCAUACAGUUAGUAAAUGACAGAGCCAGUUACGCUGCAAGUUACCCAGAUUUCAAGGAUAAGCGGUAUGUAGUAAAAAUACAUCAUGCUAUGAGAAUUAGAGAUGUUCUUCUGAAGAUCUGAUGUUUCAUCUGUGAUCUAAAGGAUGGGUCAGAAUUAAGUAGACAAAGACAGUGAGGAAGAGUGUAAUGACUGGAGCUCCAGCAGCCAUUCUGAAUGACGAACUGACUUAAGGAAGGAAGCUAUGUCUGAUAUAAUGGAACAGAAACAUAGAAGGAGCUUGCGUGGAACAGGAAUCAAAAGAAAUUAAAGACUGUCUAAGCAAAAACUCAGUUGUAUGUAAGAAAACCCAAUUCCCCUUGAGGAAGAGAAACAGCUGGAGUCCUUUAAAAUUAACUGCCUGUUUUUCUGUCUGUGGCUAGUGAGCCUUAUCGCUCCCUUUCCCAGGCAUUGUGAAGACUCUUUCUCUAGCUGUGCAGCUGCAAGGUCAUUAGACAGAUAAUCUCAAGUCGUAAAACAUAUUAUUCCUUGAAAAGUAAGAAAUAAUGUAAUGCAUGUCUUAACUGAAUAACUGUUUUUAAUUCUUGCUUCUGUAAUACGCUUCCCCCUGCACAGAACUCCCCCCACCCCACGAAAUGCUUAAAAGGUAGCUUGACUCUUUGUUCGGGGCUCAGUCCUUUGGAUGUUAAUCUGACUGGGUCGGUGCACCUAAAUAAUUAAAUAAUUCCUCCU